AACGAACGCUGGCGGCAUGCCUAACACAUGCAAGUCGAACGAGACCUUCGGGUCUAAUGGCGCACGGGUGCGUAACGCGUGGGAACCUGCCCUCAGGUUCGGAAUAACUCCCCGAAAGGGGUGCUAAUACCGGAUAAUGUCUUCGGACCAAAGAUUUAUCGCCUUUGGAUGGGCCCGCGUUGGAUUAGCUAGUUGGUAGGGUAAAAGCAUACCAAGGCGACGAUCCAUAGCUGGUCUGAGAGGAUGAUCAGCCACACUGGGACUGAGACACGGCCCAGACUCCUCCGGGAGGCAGCAGUGGGGAAUAUUGGACCAUGGGCGGAAGCCUGAUCCAGCACUGCCGCGUGAGUGAUGAAGGCCUUAGGGUUGUAAAGCUCUUUUACCCGGGAUGAUCAUGACAGUACCGGGAGAAUAAGCCCCGGCUAACUCCGUG
rnacentral:rRNA from 1 species